AUUGAACGCUGGCGGCAUGCUUUACACAUGCGAGUCGAACGGUAACAGGCCGCAAGGUGCUGACGAGUGGCGAACGGGUGAGUAAUGCAUCGGAACGUGCCCAGUCGUGGGGGAUAACUACUCGAAAGAGUAGCUAAUACCGCAUACGAUCUAUGGAUGAAAGCGGGGGACCGUAAGGCCUCGCGCGAUUGGAGCGGCCGAUGUCAGAUUAGGUAGUUGGUGGGGUAAAGGCUCACCAAGCCAACGAUCUGUAGCUGGUCUGAGAGGACGACCAGCCACACUGGGACUGAGACACGGCCCAGACUCCUACGGGAGGCAGCAGUGGGGAAUUUUGGACAAUGGGCGCAAGCCUGAUCCAGCAAUGCCGCGUGCAGGAGGAAGGCCUUCGGGUUGUAAACUGCUUUUGUACGGAACGAAACGGCUCUGGUUAAUACCCGGGGCUAAUGACGGUACCGUAAGAAUAAGCACCGGCUAACUACGUG
rnacentral:rRNA from 1 species